rnacentral:rRNA from 1 species
UACGUAGGGGGCAAGCGUUGUCCGGAUUUACUGGGCGUAAAGAGCGUGUAGGCGGCCAAACAGGUCCGUUGUGAAAACUGGAGGCUCAACCUCCAGACGUCGACGGAAACCGUAUGGCUAGAGUCCGGAAGAGGAGAGUGGAAUUCCUGGUGUUGCGGUGAAAUGCGCAGAUAUCAGGAAGAACACCAAUGGCGAAGGCGCUCUGCUAGGCCGUAACUGACACUGAGGGACGAAAGCUAGGGGAGCGAAUGGG